UACGUAGGGGGCUAGCGUUGUCCGGAAUCAUUGGGCGUAAAGAGCGUGUAGGCGGCCCGGUAAGUCCGCUGUAAAAGUCAAAGGCUCAACCUUUGAAUGUCAGUGGAUACUGCCGGGCUAGAGUCCGGAAGAGGCGAGUGGAAUUCCCGGUGUAGCGGUGAAAUGCGCAGAUAUCGGGAGGAACACCAAUGGCGAAGGCAGCUCGCUGGGACGUUACUGACGCUGAGACGCGAAAGCGUGGGGAGCAAACAGG
rnacentral:rRNA from 1 species